UACGGAGGGUGCGAGCGUUGUCCGGAAUCACUGGGCGUAAAGGGCGCGUAGGCGGCGCGGCAAGUCUGUGGUGAAAGCCCGAGGCUCAACUUCGGGUCGGCCAUGGAUACUGCUGCGCUCGAGCACUGUAGAGGCAGGUGGAAUUCCGGGUGUAGCGGUGGAAUGCGUAGAGAUCCGGAGGAACACCAGCGGCGAAGGCGGCAUCCUGGACUGGUCCUGACACUCAGGAGCGAAAGCGUGGGGAGCGAUCCGG
rnacentral:rRNA from 1 species